rnacentral:ncRNA from 2 species
UAUACACGCACGGGGAGCCUGGUAUUCCCAGGCUGAGAGGAGAUCCACAAGAUCUCGACCCGCGAACCUGAUCCGGAUAAUGCCGGCGGAGGAAUCGCAGAAUGAAUUUACU